rnacentral:rRNA from 1 species
UUAGUUUGAUCCUGGCUCAGGACGAACGCUGGCGGCGUGCUUAACACAUGCAAGUCGAACGGUGAACCAGGGCUUGCCCUGGGGAUCAGUGGCGAACGGGUGAGUAACACGUGGGCAACCUGCCCCAGACUCUGGGAUAACUCCGGGAAACCGGGGCUAAUACCGGAUACGAAUCGAGUUGGCAUCUUCUCGAUUGGAAAGUUUUUCGGUCUGGGAUGGGCCCGCGGCCUAUCAGCUUGUUGGUGGGGUAAUGGCCUACCAAGGCGACGACAGGUAGCCGGCCUGAGAGGGCGACCGGCCGCACUGGGACUGAGACACGGCCCAGACUCCUACGGGAGGCAGCAGUGGGGAAUAUUGCGCAAUGGGCGAAAGCCUGACGCAGCGACGCCGCGUGAGGGACGACGGCCUUCGGGUUGUAAACCUCUUUCAGCAGGGAUGAAGCGAAAGUGACAGUACCUGCAGAAGAAGCACCGGCUAACUACGUGCCAGCAGCCGCGGUAAUACGUAGGGUGCAAGCGUUGUCCGGAAUUAUUGGGCGUAAAGAGCUCGUAGGCGGUCUGUCACGUCGGAUGUGAAAAUCCAGGGCUCAACCCUGGACCUGCAUUCGAUACGGGCAGACUAGAAUUCGGUAGGGGAGACUGGAAUUCCUGGUGUAGCGGUGAAAUGCGCAGAUAUCAGGAGGAACACCGGUGGCGAAGGCGGGUCUCUGGGCCGAUAUUGACGCUGAGGAGCGAAAGCGUGGGGAGCGAACAGGAUUAGAUACCCUGGUAGUCCACGCCGUAAACGUUGGGCGCUAGGUGUGGGGAACAUUCCACGUUCUCCGUGCCGCAGCUAACGCAUUAAGCGCCCCGCCUGGGGAGUACGGCCGCAAGGCUAAAA